UUAUUUUCCCAAGUUCGAACAUAUUCAUUGAAAGAGGUGUUUUGACUUCAUGGUUUUUACACGGAGAACUUCAACAUUGACCACAAUAAGUGAAGCCUGGCAGGCUGCUAAGGGGCCCCAUAUGUGAGUGUGUCAAAAGUUCAUGCCCUCCCUCCAGUGUUCACACUGCAAAAACAAAAAGAUCACCUAGUGUGAGCUACAGCCCCGCCACUAACAAGACUGAUUGCCGCAGAGUGCCUCCACCUGUCUCUUCCUCCAAUUAGUGCUGCUAGCCACUGAAGUGCUAAACAACCAGCAGAGAGGGAAGUGAAGGGACGGCAACAGGGUCAAAGAUAAGGGAAAAAUGCAAGAAAAGAGACCAAAGCUAAGACGGGCUGGACUUAAGCAAGUCACCCAGAGCACUCUCUCCUCCUCCAAGGUUCACAGGAGGCUGUAAUUACGGGAAGAUGGUGGCGUAUUUACCAUAUCACAUGCUCUUUAACAAGCGCUAAUUGUGUCUGUGUGCACUGAGCGCGUGCAGGAAUGUCUCACCAAAGCUGCAGGAAAUGUUUAAUGAAGAGAGCGGCUCGGACGACAUGGAUUUCCCCCAAAGUCAGCCUGAAUCCUGUCCAGGAGACAUGGAUUUGCAGAGACGGGCAAGGAUAUUUCUGCAUUCAGCUGUUGGUCUGCUCAUCUUAGAGGCAAACAUUAAUGAUAAUCACCAUAAACACAGAUCUUCCUGGAGUCAAUGUCCGCCUUGUA